rnacentral:rRNA from 1 species
ACUUAUUCAAGGCAGAAAUGAAUUGAAUAAAUUUAAAGAAAAAAUUGGUUUUAUAAAGGGGGUAAGAAUAACACAAAAUUCUGCUUUUUGGCAGGGCUUUGAAAAAAGUAAAGUGUUAGAUCUUGCGCUAGAUUCUUACAACAAUCCGAGGAAGAUUAUUAAUCUUCCAGGGUUUGAAGGAUAAUGAUAUAGUCCGAUCUUCAUGGCGAUAUGAAGAAUUAAACAGAAAUGUUUGAUCUUUCGAUUUUUUCGAAAUGUAACAAUUUUGUAGAGACCCCUGUAGUCCUAGCCGUAAACUUUGCUCGCUAGGGGUUAGAAUUUAUUUUCUGGCCCCGUAAGCUAACGCGUUAAGCGAGCCGCCUGGGGAGUACGACCGCAAGGUUAAAACUCAAAGGAAUUGACGGGGACCCGCACAACCAGUGGAGCAUGUGGUUUAAUUCGAGACGAAACGAAGAACCUUACCAAGCCUUGACAUACUACCGUUUAUGCAUCCAGAAAUGGGAGCAAAUCUAUAGAAAUAUCGAUGGUAGAACAGGUGUUGCAUGGCCGUCGUCAGCUCGUGCCGUAGGGUGUUCCCUUCAGUGGGGUAACGAGCGCAACCCUUGCCCUGAGUUGAAUAUUCUCAGGGGACUUCUUAAAUUUAUUUUAGGAGGAAGUGAGGACGACGUCAGGUCAGCAUGGCCCUUAUAGCUUGGGCUACACACAUGCUACAAUGGAGCCGACAGAGGGUAUAGCCAAGUCGCAAGACGGAGCUAAUCCCAGAAACGGCUUCUCAGUGGGGAUUGGGGGCUGCAAUUCGCCCCCAUGAACGCGGAAUUGGUAGUAAUCGCGAAUCAGCUACGUCGCGGUGAAUACGUUCUCGGGUCUUGUACACACCGCCGAAAUUUAAUUAAAGCGCGUGGCAGUUAUUUUUUCUAAGUGGUUUAAAUCCAUUCUCCGACUUCUUGUCGGAGUAGCCAAAAAAUUUUGACAG